rnacentral:rRNA from 1 species
GUGAAGUCAUUGAUGCCAUGCUUCCAGGAAAAGCCUCUAAGCUUCAGAUUGUAAGGAAUCGUACCCCAAACCGACACAGGUGGUCGGGUAGAGAAUACCAAGGCGCUUGAGAGAACUCGGGUGAAGGAACUAGGCAAAAUGGUACCGUAACUUCGGGAGAAGGUACGCUCUUGAUGGUGAAGUCCCUCGCGGAUGGAGCUGACGAGAGUCGCAGAUACCAGGUGGCUGCAACUGUUUAUUAAAAACACAGCACUGUGCAAAAUCGUAAGAUGACGUAUACGGUGUGACGCCUGCCCGGUGCCGGAAGGUUAAUUGAUGGGGUUAGACUUCGGUCGAAGCUCUUGAUCGAAGCCCCGGUAAACGGCGGCCGUAACUAUAACGGUCCUAAGGUAGCGAAAUUCCUUGUCGGGUAAGUUCCGACCUGCACGAAUGGCGUAAUGAUGGCCACGCUGUCUCCACCCGAGACUCAGUGAAAUUGAAAUCGCUGUGAAGAUGCAGUGUACCCGCGGCUAGACGGAAAGACCCCGUGAACCUUUACUACAGCUUGGCACUGAACAUUGACCCUACAUGUGUAGGAUAGGUGGGAGGCUUUGAAGCACGUACGCCAGUAUGUGUGGAGCCGUCCUUGAAAUACCACCCUUGUAGUGUUGAUGUUCUAACGUCGACCCCUAAUCGGGGUUGCGGACAGUGCCUGGUGGGUAGUUUGACUGGGGCGGUCUCCUCCCAAAGAGUAACGGAGGAGCACGAAGGUGGGCUAAUCACGGUUGGACAUCGUGAGGUUAGUGCAAUGGCAUAAGCCCGCUUGACUGCGAGAAUGACAAUUCGAGCAGGUGCGAAAGCAGGUCAUAGUGAUCCGGUGGUUCUGAAUGGAAGGGCCAUCGCUCAACGGAUAAAAGGUACUCCGGGGAUAACAGGCUGAUACCGCCCAAGAGUUCAUAUCGACGGCGGUGUUUGGCACCUCGAUGUCGGCUCAUCACAUCCUGGGGCUGAAGUCGGUCCCAAGGGUAUGGCUGUUCGCCAUUUAAAGUGGUACGCGAGCUGGGUUUAGAACGUCGUGAGACAGUUCGGUCCCUAUCUGCCGUGGGCGUUGGAAGAUUGAAGGGGGCUGCUCCUAGUACGAGAGGACCGGAGUGGACGAACCUCUGGUGUUCGGGUUGUGUCGCCAGACGCAUUGCCCGGUAGCUAAGUUCGGAAUCGAUAACCGCUGAAAGCAUCUAAGCGGGAAGCGAGCCCUGAGAUGAGUCUUCCCUGAUACUUUAAGUAUCCUAAAGGGUUGUCGGAGACUACGACGUUGAUAGGUCAGGUGUGUAAGUGCUGUGAGGCAUUGAGCUAACUGAUACUAAUUGCCCGUGAGGCUUAACCAU